AUACGUAGGGGGCGAGCGUUGUCCGGAAUGAUUGGGCGUAAAGGGCGCGUAGGCGGCUUUGCAAGUCAGUAGUGGAAGUCCAUUUUUCAAGGAUGGAAGUGCUACAGAAACUGCGGAGCUUGAGUGCAGGAGAGGUUAUCGGAAUUCCCGGUGUAGCGGUGAAAUGCGUAGAGAUCGGGAGGAACACCAGUGGCGAAGGCGGGUAACUGGACUGCAACUGACGCUGAGGCGCGAAAGUGUGGGAAGCAAACAGGAUUAGAUACCCUGGUAGUCCACACUGUAAACGAUGAAUGCUAGGUGCAGGAGGUAUCGACCCCUUCUGUGCCGCAGUAAACACAGUAAGCAUUCCGCCUGGGGAGUACGGUCGCAAGAUUAAAACUCAAAUGAAUUGACGGGG
rnacentral:rRNA from 1 species